AUUGAACGUUGGCGGCGUGGAUUAGGCAUGCAAGUCGAGCGAGAAGUGUAGCAAUACACGGAAAGCGGCGGAAGGGAGAGUAAUACAUGGGAAUCUGCCCUUAGACCUGGGAUAGCAGCGGGAAACUGCUGGUAGUACCAGAUAAUGUCUAUGGACCAAAGGUGUGAUUCCGUCUAGGGAUGAGCCCACGUCCUAUUAGCUAGUUGGUAGGGUAAUGGCCUACCAAGGCGAUGAUGGGUAGCGGGUGUGAGAGCAUGACCCGCCUCACUGGGACUGAGACACUGCCCAGACACCUACGGGUGGCUGCAGUCGGGAAUCUUCGGCAAUGGGCGCAAGCCUGACCGAGCGAUGCCGCGUGCGGGGUGAAGGCCUUCGGGUUGUAAACCGCUGUCGAGGGGGAGCAACUUCCAUGGAGUUAUCUUUAUGGAUUGAGUGAUCCCUGGAGGAAGGACGGGCUAAGUUCGUGCCAGCCGCCGCAGUAAAAC
rnacentral:rRNA from 1 species